CCUGAGUCCAUUACCGUUACUAAGUAAUUAAGGAUUUCACUGUAUUUGUGAUUCCUAGUAGAUAGAUUAAGUGUUCUAUGUCACAUUCAUAGUUCAGCUGAUAUUUUAUUGCACUCUUUGUGUAUUUAUAUGUUUUAAUUGACCCUUUUAUUUGUAGUGUAGGUAUGUGUUUCUUUCAGUUUUACUCCCAGUUAGUGAAUUGUCUACUAACAAGUUAUCCCCCACUAUACACUCC